UGUGCUGCCAGAAGACCAUAUGCAUUCCCUCUAAUAUCAAACUGUAAGAUGUAAAACACCAGGAAAAGUUAGUCAAAUACACUUGAGAAAAUUUAGUAACACUAAUUUUAAAGAGUUUGGUUAAUUAGUCAUAUCAUUGUUUCCAUCGUUUCUCUAUUUGAACCCAGAACCUUCAGUCUUAACUGCAUUUUGCAAAAAGUAUUAUCAAGGCUACAAAGUCCAAUGCUAACUAUUAAACAAAACAUAAAAUGUUAAAAAGCUGUUGUUUUAGUUAGUGACCCGCUUUGUUUUUUAAGCAUAUCCAAAGAAAUAUGAUACCUGCAAUGAAAUGUUGAAACUAUAUUAAACUAACCUUAAAGCAAUAAAAAAAAAAACCCAUCAAGCUUGUACUCAUGCAUAUGUAGGCCUUAACUCCAAGGUAAAAGAUUCCGUGAAUUUCAAAAUUUAAUCUUUUACCAAGUUAUGAAUCUCUAACAACUUCCUUGAUAACUAUUGAUUUUAAAUGUAAAGUAUUCAUGUAAACGACAUCAAACCACAGCCGACCCAAAAAUGAGUGGAAAGACAGCAAUGGCUAUGUGUCGACAUCAAGACACAAUCGUGUGAUGAAAUCUUGAAAAGAAAUACUUUUUGUCAUACUCUAAUCACUACCUAGUAAUUCUUUUUUACUCUUUUUUCCUAUUGUAAAUGAAAAAGCAAUGAAUCCCAAUUCGACGUGGCUAACACAGAUACAAAGAAUAUAUAUGGGUGGGUGAAGCACCCAAAGAAACUUUACUUUAGUUGUCAACGGUAUGGGAAGAACCUACUUUUAUUGAAAGUAUGUGGACAAAGCAGUACUAGGAAAAAAGGCUGAGCAGAGGCAAACUUUAAAUUUUUCAAGACCCUGCUAGAGGCCAUCUCGCAGCGGUACAUUUCCGGCUGUGUUAUGGACAUCACACAUGGUCACAAAAGUUAAAUGUUUGUGUUGGUACAUUAUCUUUCCCUUUCCAAAAAAAAC
rnacentral:misc_RNA from 1 species